rnacentral:rRNA from 1 species
UACGAAGGGGGCUAGCGUUGCUCGGAAUCACUGGGCGUAAAGGGUGCGUAGGCGGGUCUUUAAGUCAGGGGUGAAAUCCUGGAGCUCAACUCCAGAACUGCCUUUGAUACUGAGGAUCUUGAGUUCGGGAGAGGUGAGUGGAACUGCGAGUGUAGAGGUGAAAUUCGUAGAUAUUCGCAAGAACACCAGUGGCGAAGGCGGCUCACUGGCCCGGUACUGACGCUGAGGCACGAAAGCGUGGGGAGCAAACAGG